rnacentral:rRNA from 1 species
UACAGGGGGGGCAAGCGUUGUUCGGAAUUACUGGGCGUAAAGGGUUCGUAGGUGGCCACUUAAGUCAGACGUGAAAUCCCUCAGCUUAACUGGGGAACUGCGUCUGAUACUGGGUGGCUUGAGUGCAGGAGAGGGAUGCGGAAUUCCAGGUGUAGCGGUGAAAUGCGUAGAUAUCAUGAGGAACACCGGUGGCGAAAGCGGAUACCUGGAAGAUUCCUGACUCUGAAACACGAAAGCUAGGGGAGCAAACGGG